rnacentral:rRNA from 1 species
UGCGGUUAUUCAAUUUAUACUUCUAUUUUUUUUUAAUUUUAAUUAAUUUUAAUAUUAAAUCUUUAUUAUUAAAUAUUAGGUGAAAUUUUAUUUAAUAAUUAUUUUUAUUUUGUUUAUGAAUUUAUUAAAUCUAGUGUCAUAAACUGGGAUUAGAUACCCCAUUAUUCUAGAAAAUAAAUUUUUAUGUUAAAUUAUUAUUAGCUAUGUCCUUGAAAGUUAAAUUAUUUGGCGGUUUUUUAUUCUAACCAGGGGAAUCUGUUUCAUGAUUGAUAGUUCACGAUUAUUAAUACUUUAAAUUUACUUGUAUAUCGUCGUUAAAAUUAUUUUUUGAAAAUAUAAUUUUUUAUAAGAUUUUAUUUUAAUUCAGAUCAAGAUGCAGUUUUUUUAAGUGAAAAUGGGUUACAAUAAAUUUAUUUUAGGAUAAUUUUUAUAAUUAAGUUUUUGAAUAUGGAUUUGGAAGUAAAAUUGGUUUUUGGCUAAUUUGAAUAUGGCCCUAAAAAAUGU